GACGAACGCUGGCGGCGCGCCUAACACAUGCAAGUCGAGCGGGAAGCUUUUUAAGGAUUCUUCGGAUGAAUUAAAAGUGGAGAGCGGCGGACGGGUGAGUAACGCGUGGGAACGUGCCCUUCUCUGCGGAAUAGCCACUGGAAACGGUGAGUAAUACCGCAUACGCCCUUAGGGGGAAAGAUUUAUCGGAGAAGGAUCGGCCCGCGUUAGAUUAGGUAGUUGGUGGGGUAAUGGCCUACCAAGCCUACGAUCUAUAGCUGGUUUGAGAGGAUGAUCAGCCACACUGGGACUGAGACACGGCCCAGACUCCUACGGGAGGCAGCAGUGAGGAAUCUUGGACAAUGGGGGAAACCCUGAUCCAGCCAUGCCGCGUGAACGAUGAAGGCCUUAGGGUUGUAAAGUUCUUUCGCCUGGGAAGAUAAUGACGGUACCAGGUAAAGAAGCCCC
rnacentral:rRNA from 1 species